AGAAAUUUAGGUUAAAUAGACCAAGAGCCUUCAAAGCCCUAAGCAAGUAGUCAUAUACUUAAUUUCUG
rnacentral:tRNA from 1 species